rnacentral:lncRNA from 1 species
CCAACAUGGCGAAACCCCAUCUCUACUAAAAAUACAAAAAUUAGCUGGGCGUGGUGGUGCAUGCCUGUAAUCCCACCUAUUCGGAAGGCUGAGGCAGGAGAAUUGCUUGAAUCUGGGAAGCGGAGGUUGCAGUGAGCAGAGAUCAUGCCACUCUGGACUCCAGCUUGGGCAACAAAGUGAGACUCCAUCUCAAAAAAAAAAAGGCCGGGUGUGGUGGCUCAUGCCUGUAAUCCCAGCACUUUGGGAGGCCAAGGCGGGAGGAUCACCUGAGGUCAGGAGUUCGAGACCAGCCUGACCAACAUGGAGAAACGCCAUUUCUACUAAAAAUACAAAAUUAGCCAGGCAUGGUGGCGCAUGCCUGUAAUCCCAGCUACUCGGGAGACUGAGGCAGGAGAAUUGCUUGAACCCGGGAGGCGGAGGUUGCGGUGAGCCUAGAUUGUGCCAUUGCACUCCAGCCUGGGCAACAAGAGCAAGACUCCAUCUCAAAAAAAAAAAAAAAAAAAAGCUCCCCUGGCAAACCAAGGGAUGACAUUACUGUUGGUGGCCUGGGAAUCUUC